ACGUCGAAUGCAUGGGUUGGGCAAGGAAUAAGUAAGAGGGAAAAAAAGAAAGAAAGAAAAAGUUGUCGAGCGAAACCCUCACACCGCACGUCCUCCACCUCCCUUCGCCUCCAGCGCCCCUCCUCCCUCUCCAGCGCCGCCACAGCCGCCUGGGCGACGCUCCCACCCACCACCCAUGGUUGAGGUCGGCGAAGCGGCCCAUCGCGCGGCGCCUGGGGACGUCGCCUCCCUCCGCCGCCAGCAGCGGCGACCGGCUAACAUGCGGUCGUCGCCGCCAAAACCGGAUGGCGUGCUGUCCGGCGAGGGGCCCGACCUGCCGCGCGGCAUCGCCUCCUCCACAUCCGCCCGUGGAUCGAGCUCCACAACCUCCAUCCCGACCUGCCUUUCCCUCCUCUCGCUUGUCAGAAAGGAGUGCAGGCCGCUGUUGCCCCACACGAGGUCAUCCUCCUCUUUGGUUUUGCUGAUUCCGAUGGCGUUGGCUCGACCUACAGUUUAUACCGGAACUUAAUCUGAAGGUCAGGACUUCAUGCCCUUUUCUCUUGAGCUGAAACGCAUGCAAGCAUGGCUGUUGACCGAGCCCCCUAAUUCAACUAUUCAGGUACAGAUUGAUUGGGUCAUGUCUGUAGUUUUUUUCAGUGCUGCAGGUUCAUGUUCUUGGGGAAAAAUCGUUGUCUAUUUCCUAUAUUGGUGAUGCGGGUGAACUGAUUUGGGUAUUAUAAUGAGCUUUUUCUCUUUGGAAAAUGUCGAUGUUAAAGCAUUUGGUCAUGAUGGAUCAUUUUACUGGUUCUCAGUUCAACUCAAGAUGGCUCAGAUAGGACCAAGUUUGAAUAUUCAUGUGUUGGAUAGGGGUUGGGGUUGGUCUCCUGCACAAGAGAUAUGUGAAGGUGCAAAUUGGAGCAGAAGAUUCGUCUAUGAUGCAGCAGCUCAAAGCUGAAGAUUUUGAAGGAUGUCAUAUCUGAGCAGAUAGCUGAUCUGAUUGGGGAUGCUGGUAAUACGGUUGUUGUUAUAAAGUCUAAAAGCUACAUGGGAAGAUCUCAGCAAAUACUUUAAGCCGCAAAGUAUCAAAGGGGAUUUCACCCUCUUGCCAUGCGCUGAGCCGCGGUGGGAGAAAGUGGGUGGCAGCGAGCCAGUGGAUUGGUCAUUGGAUAACUGCUUGUUGUAUUUCACAAUGAGGACAUUUGUUUGGGGGGUGUAUCCUAGAGUUAAGGAUGCUUGGAUGGAAGUGGUGGCCUCACAAAGGCACCCUAAUGUGCGUAGGCAAGAUCGAAAUGCACAAAUACCUGCUCAGUUGCAGUCACUCUCAUCAUCAACGCUCAACAAUGGCCUCUUCUUCCGGUGCCCGAAGCAGCCGCAUACCCAUAUGCCUCGUGCUGAUUCUCCUGAUCGCCUGCGAGAAGUCAGCCAUCAUGCCGGUCGGCCAGCAAUGUGAAGGACCAGAUGAUCGUUGAUAAAUACGCGCUGUUCUGAUCAGAACUAUUGAUUUAUUGCAGUACGAUGUUGCCUCUUCAGUACAUCUGUGUUAGCUCUUUCUGUUACUAUCCAUUCUGUAAGCUCUAUUUGACAGGAAAAAGCCACUGAAGUUAGCGUUGCGUGCCUGAAAGUCUACAAGUAGUAGUCUGACAAGAGGGCGUUUUGAAAGAUGUUUGCUUGUUGUAGCUAUACCAGUUAUACCUCUACGGUAGGUAGCACUAGGGCAGCCCGGUGCAUGUAGCUCCCGCUUGCGCAGGGUCGGGGAAGGGUCCGACCACUUUGGGUCUAUAGUACGCAGCCUUUCCCUACAUUUCUGUAAGAGGCUGUUUCCAGGACUUGAACCCGUGACCUCAUGGUCACAAGGCAGCAGCUUUACCACUGCGCCAAGGCUCCCCUUCUCUACGGUAGGUAGCACUGUAUUUUAUUAUUUUUGUGGAUUUGGGGAGGAUUUUUAGCUCACUCUUUUUUUGUACCAAAUUAUCUGCAUUUGGCAGUGCUUUCAUAUUUCCCUUCUUUGGCUCUGAUGCAAUUAAACUUUGUUAUUGUAUGUUGAAAAUUCAGGUGAUGACCAAUCAAGAGGUUGUUGAUGAGAUCAACACCAGAGGGGCGGACAGGCAGCUGCGAAUCAUCUGACGGAGCAAAAUAGGAGGAGCGAAGACAACAUCUCUUGCGUCGCUGUAAACGUCCGCUGCUAUGAGAGCUUCAGUCAGUGAAUAGGAGGAGCAAAGACAAGAACUGCUUCGUCAUCGUAAACUUCCACUCUUGGCCGAGCUUCAACCUGCUAGUCCCUUAUGCGUACAAUUAGUUAUAUGCCAGAUUGGUUUUACAAUUUUUUCUGUAGUUAUUCAUACGAUGUAGAGUUUAAUAUGGUUGGGGAUAAUCCACCACCCAAUGGGAUUAAGGUCUCUAAAAUAUUGUUGUUUGUUUGGUUAUGAGGUGUAAAUUCUAUUGCAAGUUCCUU